rnacentral:lncRNA from 11 species
AGGAGCUGCUGUAUUUCUUCACCCCUUCCUUAGUUUGCAGUUUUUUUUUGCAAAGAAAUUUGGCCUCCUGCCCGGAUCCAAAGUUGUUUCCCUAAGCAGGCAAGGAUCACAAUUUUUAAAAAAUCUUCACAGAACUGAACUUUUUAUGGAUUUAACUUCCAAUAAUGUUACUGUAAGUUCAUUUUAUGCAAUUCUAUCUUUAUUUGUAGUCAGUUUUUUAGUAGUCAGUGUUUUUGUAGUCAAUGUUUUCAACACAUUGCG